AAAUUAUCCAAGAACUGAAACUCACCAGAUCACCACAUCCUUUCAACUUAUGGCCCAAGAAAAUAGAAGUCAGAAUCAAAAUCCAGCAUGCAGAACUUGUUGUAAAACAUGGCAGUACAGAAAUCAGGAUUUGCAAGAAGGGGGUACAUGAGAAUAGCAAAAGGCAGAGAAAGUGAACCAAGUCUAUUGUUAGAUACAAGCCGAUAAGAAACUAAUGAAAGCUCUGAGAUUCAUGAAUGCUGUCAGAAGACACAAGACCCUGGGCUCAGAAAAAGGUAACUUGAUUACCUAUGGCUAGAAGGCACCACGGAUUUUAUGUUUGUACCAGUCCCCUCAGUCCCAUGGACCUAUAUGGAUGCUGAGAACAUAGGGAGUUUGUAACACGUGUGGU